CCUACGGGAGGCAGCAGUGAGGAAUAUUGGUCAAUGGCCGCAAGGCUGAACCAGCCAAGUAGCGUGAGGGAAGACUGCCCUAUGGGUUGUAAACUUCUUUUAUGCGGGGAUAAAGGUGUCCACGUGUGGCUGUUUGCAGGUACCGUAUGAAUAAGGAUCGGCUAAUUCCGUGCCAGCAGCCGCGGUAAUACGGAGGAUCCGGGCGUUAUCCGGAUUUAUUGGGUUUAAAGGGAGCGUAGGCGGGUCGUUAAGUGAGCUGUGAAAUUUUGAGGCUCAACCUUGAAAUUGCGUCGGAUACUGGACGCCUUGAGUGCAGUUGAGGCAGGCGGAAUGCGUGGUGUAGCGGUGAAAUGCUUAGAUAUCACGAAGAACCCCGAUUGCGAAGGCAGCUUACCA
rnacentral:rRNA from 1 species